AUUGAACGCUGGCGGCAUGCUUUACACAUGCAAGUCGAACGGUAACAGGCCUUCGGGUGCUGACGAGUGGCGAACGGGUGAGUAAUGCAUCGGAACGUACCCAGAGGUGGGGGAUAACGCAGCGAAAGCUGUGCUAAUACUGCAUGUGAUCUGAGGAUGAAAGCGGGGGACCGAGCAGCAAUGUUUGGCCUCGCGCCUUUGGAGCGGCCGAUGUCGGAUUAGCUAGUUGGUGGGGUAAAGGCCUACCAAGGCGACGAUCCGUAGCUGGUCUGAGAGGACGACAAGCCACACUGGGACUGGGACACGGCCCAGACUCCUACGGGAGGGAGCAGUGGGGAAUUUUGGACAAUGGGCGCAAGCCUGAUCCAGCAAUGCCGCGUGCGGGAAGAAGGCCUUCGGGUUGUAAACCGCUUUUGGCAGGAACGAAACGGUGUCCGCUAAUACCGGGCGCUAAUGACGGUACCUGCAGAAUAAGCACCGGCUAACUACGUG
rnacentral:rRNA from 1 species